UACGUAGGUGGCAAGCGUUGUUCGGAUUCAUUGGGCGUAAAGGGUGCGUAGGCGGCGGGGCAAGUCUGAUGUGAAAUCCCGGGGCUCAACCCCGGAACUGCAUUGGAUACUGCCUUGCUAGAGUACUGGAGAGGGAACUGGAAUUUACGGUGUAGCAGUGAAAUGCGUAGAGAUCGUAAGGAAGGCCAGUGGCGAAGGCGAGUUCCUGGACAGUUACUGACGCUGAGGCACGAAGGCCAGGGGAGCAAACGGG
rnacentral:rRNA from 1 species